GACCACGUAGCUCAGUUGGCAGAGCAUUGGGCUAGUAUUCCAAAGGUCGUAGGUUCGAUUCCCACCGUGGCG